CCAUCCAUUAUCUUUAGAGCUGCACGAGUUGCUAUGGAUAUUAUGUUUGGGAUGAAAUGAUGAGAACUUAACCAUCUCUCUCCUUACUGCCAUAUCUUCAACUUACGUCCUUUUUCCUUUUUCUUGUUGAUAAGUUAUCCUCCAUUUACUACGAAGCCAAUAAUCAUUUCUGGACUUUCUGAUUUUAGCAAGUUUCCUUCCUGCCUCCUGGUCUGCCCAUAUUCAAUAAGUGACAAAUCUAUCCCACCAAAAUAUGGCAGAUGGAGCUGGAUAUUUGUCCUACAAGCCCUCUAGCAAUUGUUACUUUCAUUGGUUCAUCAUUCAUGGUUCAGUGAAUAGUUGCAACUUGCAAACAGUUGAGAGCACAUAUGAAACCUAACAUAGCUUCUGAACUGUGAGAUUCUCUGUCUCCACAUCAAAACAGAAUGCUCCAAUGCCGGUUGGGGUCACCAACAGGACAAAUUCCAGCAUGAAGGAAGGAAGAUCCAGCAUCUUCAAUUCAAUGUCGAUGGCUGCAUUGGAAGGGAGAAUUGAGCAUUGAGGAUGAAGAAUUCACAGUAAAUUAGAGUGGUGCCAUAUGGAUUAUGGCAUUCUGUUGCCAAUUUACAAAUAUAAGAUGGCUUAUGGACGAGGCAACCCAGUGCAUAAUGAGAGAUGGUGAUGCCAGGAUCGUGGAACUGGAGAUAUUAUAUGAGGCGAUGAAAUCAUUGAUCAUACCAAAUUAGCAUAAUUUUGACAAUAUGCACUAUUUGGAUUUCCUGGGAUCGUCAUAGCUGCCAGAAACUAUCACAUGUAUUUGCUUCUAGUUUCUUGAAAGUAGUAAUAUUUUACGAUCUCAAAGUUUUCUGAGGAGUUCCAAUUUAUAAUUUGAUUUCAUAAAGAUAUCGUUGAGGGCUGUACUUAGUGGACCUGCAUUUAUCUCUUGGCAUUGGAAGUAUAUUAUGUUUAUAGCAAACUCCUUGAUCCCGCUA